UGGGGAAUAUUGGACAAUGGGGGGAACCCUGAUCCAGCCAUGCCGCGUGUGUGAAGAAGGUCUUCGGAUUGUAAAGCACUUUAAGUUGGGAGGAAGGGCAGUAAGCGAAUACCUUGCUGUUUUGACGUUACCGACAGAAUAAGCACCGGCUAACUCUGUGCCAGCAGCCGCGGUAAUACAGAGGGUGCAAGCGUUAAUCGGAAUUACUGGGCGUAAAGCGCGCGUAGGUGGUUCGUUAAGUUGAAUGUGAAAGCCCCGGGCUCAACCUGGGAACUGCAUCCAAAACUGGCGAGCUAGAGUAGGGCAGAGGGGGGUGGAAUUUCCUGUGUAGCGGUGAAAUGCGUAGAUAUAGGAAGGAACACCAGUGGCGAAGGCGACCACCUGGGCUCAUACUGACACUGAGGUGCGAAAGCGUGGGGAGCAAACAGG
rnacentral:rRNA from 1 species